rnacentral:lncRNA from 1 species
CAGCAAUACAUGACGAGUAAGUAUGUAUUUUUUUUUAUUGAAAACUGUCAGCGGACGAAACAUCCUUACUAAACCACCUUUCUUCAAUUUAUUUGUUUACAUUUAUUAAAAAAUAAAUAAUAUAAAAAAAGAAGAUGUGGUAUGAUUGCCAAUGAGACAACUGUCCUCAAGAGACCAAAAUGACACAGACAUUAGGACCAUAUUAAAAUCAAAUUCUAAAACAAAAAGGUAUUCAUCACCUCACAAAACGUCAUGACAAAAGCAUUAGAAACCAAAAAUUAAGAAGAUGGAAAUUAAAAAAUGUUACACU